UUGGCUGCCCCUUCAUAACCAUAAGAUAAUUAAAACGAGGGGGGGCAGGGUUAAAAAAACUUUUUUAUCAGCCAGAGGUUAAUGCAAGUGUUUAACAGAUGCUUCAUUAUUAAAAUAUUUUUUUCCCCACCUUUCAAAUAUUGAAGAAUCUCAAACCAGGGACAGCAGUCCUCAGGAAGACCUUGGGCGAUUUCAAAGCGCAGGCACCUCGGUUCCUCGAAUUUGUGAUGUGGCCGGUAUUGGUGUUCCCCUGGUUUAACUAGCCUGUUUGAAGGUGCAGGUCAUUCUUGGGGAAGUCCAACCCAAACCAGGCCUCCUCUGCCACCCAGGGGUCUUCCUUUCUGCCAGUCUCCAUCUGCCUGUGACUCAGAAAGACAAACUUCAGACUGGCCGAGCUGCAUCUCUGACCAGAUCCUUUGAGGCUUGUGUGGCAUGAAGAGUUCUGGCCCAGCUGAAAUGCCACCUCCUCCAGGAGUCCUUUCCAGAUCUCUGGGCACUUCCUGUGGGUCGUGGAGAGACCAAUCAAUGCACUGAAGCCAGUAGGUGCUUAAACAGCUUGUGUAAAAGGGGUGAUUCAGAGAAAUCAGGCGCCCGAAGACCCAGCCCAACAACUAGGGCCGGGUCGCGUCGGGGGCACCGCGCUCCUCCGCUGGGAUCACUGGGGCCGCGGCCGUCGCUGGACAGCGAGACGCAGAGUGAGACGCGGGGCUGCAGCCACAGCUCGGGACUGUACGGGGACAGGAAGCGCAUCCAGAGCCGCCACCCCAGACUCAGGCCACUGCGUGGGCUGCUGGGCCGCUCCCUUCCUCCUGGUUAAAUUUUCGUUUUGAUCCCACCGCCCUCUCGGUAACAACCGCCAAGGAGGCCAGAUCUCCGCCGCUCACCGCUGCGGGGAGGAGGGACCCCCCUCCCCAGCUUCCUCCAGCGGGUCUCGAGGACUUUUCGCUGGAGGCGGGCAGGAAGGGGUUAACCGCGCCCCUCCCCCCACCGCGCCCUCCGUGCCGGGCGAAGGCCGCCGCCUCCCUCGCGAGGUCUCAUUAGGGAAACCCUUACCGCUAUUUUCAACAUUUCCUCAAUCAAGAACCUUUAAAUAGAGCUGCACAAACAAAUUGGCGGCAAAAGCGUAGAUCUUGUCACGAUUGAGACCAAUCCCAAUAUUUCAGCCUUGUUUGCUUUGCAAUUACGGGUUGGCUUGUGGCAGCGGUGCCACCGGGGCAAAUCUGCAGCCGCCCGCGCUCUCCUCCGCACCCUCGGCGGGUGGAGGGGGCGAUCCGCACAGCC